rnacentral:rRNA from 1 species
AGGGAUUGCCUAGUACGGCGAGUGAAGCGGCAACAGCUCAAAUUUGAAAUCUGGCCCUCUUUGGGGGUCCGAGUUGUAAUUUGCAGAGGAUGCUUUGGUAUCGGCGGCGGUCUAAGUUCCUUGGAACAGGACAUCGCAGAGGGUGAGAAUCCCGUACGUGGGCGCCUGCCUUUACCGUGUAAAGCUCCUUCGACGAGUCGAGUUGUUUGGGAAUGCAGCUCUAAAUGGGAGGUAAAUUUCUUCUAAAGCUAAAUACCGGCCAGAGACCGAUAGCGCACAAGUAGAGUGAUCGAAAGAUGAAAAGUACUUUGGAAAGAGAGUCAAAUAGCACGUGAAAUUGUUGAAAGGGAAGCGCUUGCAGCCAGACUUGCCCGCAGUUGCUCACCUAGGCUUUUGCCUGGGGCAUUCUUCUGCGGGCAGGCCAGCAUCAGUUUGGGCGGUUGGAUAAAGGCCUCUGUCAUGUACCACCCUUCGGGGUGGCCUUAUAGGGGAGGCGCAAUGCAACCAGCCCGGACUGAGGUCCGCGCAUCUGCUAGGAUGCUGGCGUAAUGGCUGUAAGCGGCCCGUCUUGAAACACGGACCAAGGAGUCUAACAUCUAUGCGAGUGUUUGGGUGUCAAGCCCGGGCGCGCAAUGAAAGUGAACGGAGGUGGGAACCCUUUGGGUGCACCAUCGACCGAUCCUGAAGUCUUCGGAUGGAUUUGAGUAAGAGCAUAGCUGUUGGGACCCGAAAGAUGGUGAACUAUGCUUGAUAGGGGGGAAGCCAGAAGAAACUCUGGUGGAGGCUCGCAGCGGUUCUGACGUGCAAAUCGAUCGUCAAAUUUGGGCAUAGGGGCGAAAGACUAAUCGAACCAUCUAGUAGCUGGUUCUG